rnacentral:rRNA from 1 species
AGUGAACGCUGGCGGUAGGCCUAACACAUGCAAGUCGAACGGCAGCACAGUAAGAGCUUGCUCUUACGAGUGGCGAGUGGCGGACGGGUGAGGAAUACAUCGGAAUCUACUUUUUCGUGGGGGAUAACGUAGGGAAACUUACGCUAAUACCGCAUACGACCUACGGGUGAAAGCAGGGGAUCUUCGGACCUUGCGCGAUUGAAUGAGCCGAUGUCGGAUUAGCUAGUUGGCGGGGUAAAGGCCCACCAAGGCGACGAUCCGUAGCUGGUCUGAGAGGAUGAUCAGCCACACUGGAACUGAGACACGUUCCAGACUCCUACGGGAGGCAGCAGUGGGGAAUAUUGGACAAUGGGCGCAAGCCUGAUCCAGCCAUACCGCGUGGGUGAAGAAGGCCUUCGGGUUGUAAAGCCCUUUUGUUGGGAAAGAAAAGCAGCAGGUUAAUACCCCGCUGUUCUGACGGUACCCAAAGAAUAAGCACCGGCUAACUUCGUG